rnacentral:pre_miRNA from 14 species
UAUUACUCAGGUAUUGAAAGAUCCCCGAAGGGAGACCCUUACUCAAGUCUCAGGAAGUUGCUGACUCCAGACACAGAGAGACCA